UAGCUCCAAAAAGACAUAGUUAGCUAAUUUAGCUCCAAGAAGAGGAGUAGAGGAGAAAUGAAAAGAAGGAAGAAGAAGAAGAAGAAGAAAAGAAGAAGAGAAGGAGAAGGAGAAGAAGAAGAAGAAGAAGGAGGAGGAGAAGAAGAAGAGAAUAAGAAGAGAAGAAGGAGAAGGAGGAGAAGGAGGAGAAGGAGCCCUCCUUCUUCU
rnacentral:lncRNA from 1 species